ensembl:lncRNA
GAAUUAACUGAUAAUCUGCAUAAAUCAUAGUGUCUAAUAUUUGGCACAAAAUAUUUUCAAAUUCACUGAAAAACAAAUAAAAAUUAUCUAUAAAUGAAUAAAAUAUCCACAGGGAGAAUAUCUCACCUGCUGUUAGCCUACAGAUGAUUUUAUGGCCACAGAAAUAUAAUGAAAUUGAAGCAACCACUAAAGUCAAAAGAUUUUAGUAACAUUGUAAAUUACAAGUUACAAACUCUGUUUUCUCGAGUCAACAGAAAUGAAUGUGCCUGUUUUCAUUCCCUGUUGUUGUUUAGUCACUAAUUCAGGUACGACUCUUUUGCAACCGCAUGGACUGUAGCCCUCCAGGCUUCUCUGUCCACAGAAUUUCUCAGGCAAGGAUACUGGAGUGGGUUGCCACUUCCUUCUCCUGUGGAUCUUCCCAACCUAGCAACUGAACCUCAGCCUCCUGCAUUGGCAUGUGGAUUGUUUACUGCUGAGUCACCAGGAAAGCCCUUUCGUUCCCCCCCACUCUCCCAUUUCCCUGUUUCUCACUCAAUGCUGGCUGUAUCUGAAGUUUCGCCACCUGGGUCUACUAUUUGUGGUCUAAUGGGCACUUGCAUUCAUUCAUUCAGCAUACCUUUGCUUAUUGAUGGAAGAAGCCCACAGGUCACCUCGUUCCACCCCCACCCCUACCCAAGUCCUUGCAUCAGUAUAAGAAAAGAAUGGGCUUCUUAGCAGUCCAACAAAAAGACAGGCCUCAUCCAUUCUCCACAACAACAAAACUCCUGCUAGAAGCGAAACAGAAUAAAACUUUCCUUAACUUUCUCCUGUAAUGAAACAGUGAAAGAAGUAUUCACCAGAACACUUUUUGUGAUGUGGAAGUGUUUGAGCAGAGUCUGAGACAUGUGAAAGUGGCUGGAGCUAUUUCAAAGUCAGAACUCAAGAGGUGCUUGUUAGUCUUGAGAGAGCAAGAAGGACAAAAGGAAGAGAGGAAGAACUGAGAGCAGUCUCAGUGCUGAUGGGAGACCUCCCAAUGACAGUCUUUGAAAUUUACAAAGUUCAUUGGUCUGAUGAUUGUUUUUGAACCCAAUGAAGUGCUUGAGACACACAUUCCUCUUGAUAUAACAUAAAGGAAAGCCAAGAUGGUCCUUGCAGCUGCAAGAUCUGAAAGAUAAAAAGAUGCAGGAAGAAAUAAGCCCUGAAAACAGACACAUCUUGGGAGGGCUUUGGAUUGGAAUUUGAUUGCAUUCAUCAUCUGUUUGCUGUAAGUUUUAAUUGGCUCCAGUAAUACCAGGGUUACUUUGAAGAGUUUCCAGUGCUAAAUAACUCAUGACCCUAUGUACUAUCUAGAACUGUAAUUGAAGGUAAGGAAGAAUAAUAUUCUCAGAACUCCUUCUUAAAAGAGAACUUACAAGAAAGGAAAAAUAAAGCAGAUAAAAGCAGAGCUAUUCCUGUUGAGGCUGGGUCGUGGCAGAGAAUCUCCUCAACACAAAUAGAAACUAUAGCACUCAGAAGGGCAUAUCCUUCAUGUCUCUGGAAUUUAAUUGAUAGAAUGGAAUGGAAAUAGGGUGAGGGAGAGAUGCCAAAUUCAUCCCAAACCGAGUCCACUUCCGGGAUGCUCUGAGGAAUGAGGAGGCAGAACUGAUGAAAGUGAAUUCUUUGAAGGACUUAAAAGUCUCAUGAAAGGAAGUCCAUUCCUUCUGAGAGAAGAAGGAGUGAGGUUGAGAAGCUAGUAACAAAGCCUUAGUCAUAGAGGGAUGAGCAAUUGUGCCAUAGGUUACCUAGCACACCAAAUGUCCUCAUCCAGGAACUAAUGGUCUAAUAUAAUCUAUGAGUCUUGCAGAUGUGCAGGUCUGGAGAAGGAUUCAUGGGAGCCUAAAUUCAAAAAGAAGAGGCUGUUUCAUUAAGAAUUCUGUGAGGAAAAUAAUGUUGAGUAUAAACAGCGCACUUUGGUACCCUUGUGGAAUGGUAUUAACAUUGCAUGAAAGAGCUAUUUUUAAAAAGCUUGGUUUCUGAGCAUUGGGAUAUCGAAAAGGUGCCUAGCCUACCUGCUAUGAGAUGGAAUAAUCUUGAUCCUAGCUUCAGAACAGGGGCUGUCACAG